GAUGAACGCUGGCGGCGUGCCUAAUACAUGCAAGUCGAGCGAACGGACGAGAAGCUUGCUUUUCUGAUGUUAGCGGCGGACGGGUGAGUAACACGUGGAUAACCUACCUAUAAGACUGGGAUAACUUCGGGAAACCGGAGCUAAUACCGGAUAAUAUUUUGAACCGCAUGGUUCAAAAGUGAAAGACGGUCUUUCUGUCACUUAUAGAUGGAUCCGCGCUGCAUUAGCUAGUUGGUAAGGUAACGGCUUACCAAGGCAACGAUGCAUAGCCGACCUGAGAGGGUGAUCGGCCACCCUGGAACUGAGACACGGUCCAGAAUACUACGGGAGGAAGCAGCAGGGAAUCUUCCGGAAUGGGCGAAAGCCUGACGGAGCAACGCCGCGCGAGUGAUGAAGGUCUUCGGAUCGUAAAACUCUGUUAUUAGGGAAGAACCUAUGUGUAAGUAACUGUGCACAUCUUGACGGUACCUAAUCAGAAAGCCCCGGCUAACUACGUG
rnacentral:rRNA from 1 species